UCCAUAUAGAGGCCUAUAAGCAGGAGCUGGAAGGCUACUUACUGGGAUGUUUUACAUGAGAACUUAACUCCACUAUAUGAGCUGAAUGAAAUGACCCGACAGACUCCGAAAAUCUCAAAGACCUGGCUCUCAGUCCACUGAGACACCCAGCUGCUCCCUCAAUGGAUGUUUUGAACUCACAAGACAUGUGAAUUUGCCUUCAAACUUGGAAAUAUCCAUUCAGAGGUUGAUAUUCCAUCACCUACUUGGAAAAGGACUCCUAAAGCAGAAAGGGCUGAUUCAGAAGGAAUUUAGGAAAUCAUGAUUCAGACCCAGAAUGGUGGAAUCUCUAUGUGCCUCCUCUUCAUAAUAAGAGCCAGUAACCAUGAUUUAUCCUACACAGACCCCAACGAACUCCUAGACCUCAGCACUGGGACAUCAGAGACUGCUUAUCUUAUGAGUUAUUAACCUAUGUCGGAUAUAAUAUCCUCCCAUCUGGAUGAGUAAUUUAGUAUUUCAUUAAGCAUUGCUGGUGAUUGUUCAAAUAAGAUAAUUUAUUCAAAAUACUUUGCAAACCUUAAAGCUCUGUACAUUUUUUUGUUUUUUAAAAAUAAGUAAAAUAAGACUAUCAAUAAAAUAAUAAG